rnacentral:rRNA from 1 species
GACGAACGCUGGCGGCGUGCUUAACACAUGCAAGUCGAACGGAAAGGCCCUGCUUUUGUGUGGUGCUCGAGUGGCGAACGGGUGGGUAACACGUGAGUAACCUGCCCUUGUCUUUGGUAUAACUUCAGGAAACUUGGGCUCAUACCGGAUAUGAUCUCCUUCUGCAUGUUGUGUGUUGGAAAUUUUCGGCGGUUGGGGAUGGACUCGCGGCUUAUCAGCUUGUUGGUGGUGUAGUGGCUUACCAAGGCUUUGACGGGUAGCCGGCCUGAGAGGGUGACCGGCCACAUUGGGACUGAGAUACGGCCCAGACUCCUACGGGAGGCAGCAGUGGGGAAUAUUGCACAAUGGGCGGAAGCCUGAUGCAGCAACGCCGCGUGCGGGAUGACGGCCUUCGGGUUGUAAACCGCUUUCGCCUGUGACGAAGCGUGAGUGACGGUAAUGGGUAAAGAAGCACCGGCUAACUACGUG